GCUGCUGGGAUUUUUUUUUUUUUUGAAGCCAAGAGAAAAAUACUCCAACCUCCAAUUUGUCCCACCAUCGCAUGCCAACCCACCCGACCAUGAGCAUCUAAUCUGAGUUCUUAAUCACUUCAUCGCAGAGACACCAUGCCGUCAAUUGACAGCGAUGCCUUCGGGUUCCCUGUUGCGAAGAGACAGAAGGUUGCCCCAGGCCAGCUCGUGUCUCAAGAUGCUGCUCACCCUCCGAGCUCUCGGAUAUUCUCCCCCUUCAGAACUCUAGGACUUGUAUCCCCAACUACAGUGCCAUUCACCUCCGUCCCGCUGGGCAAAACUACGUUCCAAAUCACUACAUCUGUAGGCAGAUCCCUACAGACGUAUGACCUCCGCCGUGGCCUCAGUCUCGUCUUCCUCACACGCCCUCAAACCCCCGCGGCUAUAACAGCGAUAUGCGCCUGGAAAGAUAAAGUGCUGGCUGCCUGGGGCAGUGGAUCGCUGGCCAACGAAUCCGCACAAGGUGUCUGGGUUUUCAAGCGCGGGAAGAAGAUCGGAGAGCUGCCAUUCCCCGCCUCACCAACAGCCACUGAGGGAGCAAUAGGAGCAACCGAGCCGAUUGAGCAGUUACUCGUGAUUGGCUCGUGGAUUGUUGGAUGCGGUUGCAGAACCAUACGCGUGUGGAAAUCUACGACCUUCGAGCUUUACACCACACUCAUCCCUCCCAGCCAACGAAAGACAUUGACAUCAGCAGCAUCAUCAGUGUCGUCUGGUGGCACCACUCGAGUCCUGACAGGCCGGAUAUGUAAUAUGCCAACAUACCUCAACAAGAUCUUCGCGGGCCGCCAGGAUGGUAGCAUUGAUAUCUGGAACCUCUCAACGGGGAAACUUGUCUACACCAUCCUCCCCGCAACACCAGACGCAGGCGCCGUUACUGCCAUGCAGCCCACGCCCGCCCUCUCCCUAAUCGCAAUCGCCUACAGCAGCGGAGCCCUGACCAUCCACAACGUCAGAACGGACCAGGUUGUCCUAAACCUCCGCUCCCCCGCUUCCACUUCUUCCAUUUCUUCCACCACUCCCUUCUCUCCAAUAACCUGCAUCUCCUUCCGCACUGACGAACUGGGCGCUGGCCACGACGGGCGCAAAGCAGGCGUCAUGGCCACUGCCAGCGCUGACAGCGGCGACAUCACCAUGUGGGACCUGAACAACGGUGGCAAGAUCACCGGCGUCCUGCGCGACGCACACGAGUCCUCUUCGUCAUCAUCCUCGUCUGAAGAGCCCGGCGUUAGCAAAAUCGAGUUUCUACAUGGCCAACCCGUCCUAAUAUCCACAGGCACAGAUAACGCCCUGCGUUCCUGGAUCUUCGACGAGACCCCCUUCUCCCCCGUCCCUCGAACCCUGCACUCGCGCAGCGGCCACUCGGCGCCCAUCACAACCCUCCGCUUCCUCCCGGCCUCCUCUGACGAUUCCGAUUCCGUCGGUAAAUGGAUCCUCAGCGCGAGCAAAGACCGGAGCCUAUGGGGCCUGAGUCUGCGAAAGGAUUCGCAGAGUACGGAGCUGUCGCAGGGCCAUGUGAAGUUAAAGAAGAAGAAGAGGGGCUUUGCGGGAGCGCGGAUGGAGGACUUUAAGACUCCGGAAAUUACCUGUAUGGCAUGCUCGUUGAAUAGGGACGGGGGCAUGGGGACCGCUGCUGGCGCUGCUGGUGCAAACGGGCCGGUAUGGGCUAAUGUGAAGGGCGGCACUGCGGAGGCGACCAACUUAACUGGGUGGGAGAGUGUUGUUACAGGCCAUCGGGGCGAUAAAUUUGCGAGGACGUGGUUUUGGGGGAGGAAGAAAGCUGGGCGAUGGGCUUUUGGGACGCACGAUGGAACGCAGGUUAAGAGCGUCGCGGUUUCGCCGUGUGGCACCUUUGCACUAGUCGGGUCUGCUGGUGGUUCCAUUGAUAUGUACAAUCUCCAAUCUGGCAUGCAUCGGCAGUCAUUCCCUGCGCGGGUAACCCCCGCCCAAGCAAGAAAGUUAAAAAUGAUGCAAUUGGAUGAGAUGAACGAUCUAGCGACCGGGUCCAGCGGCAAAAGAAGCUUCCAAAUGGGCGAAGGAAAACAUACCAGUGCCGUUACUGGGCUGAUGGUUGACGCAUUGAAUACGACGGUUAUAAGCUGCGGGCUUGAUGGGAAAGUGAAGUUCUGGCAAUUCCUCACGGGCCAACUGCUCCACGAGCUAGAUUGGCACCCCAUGUGUUCCAUCACGGGUCUCCGCGCCAAUACCUCCAGCGACCUCAUCGCGCUAAGCUGCGACGACCUCUCCAUCCGCGUUAUCGACAUCGAGACGCGCAAACUCGUGCGCGAGCUCUGGGGCGCCAUGGGCCAGAUCAACGACUUCUGCAUCUCCAACGACGGCCGCUGGAUCAUUGCCGCGUCCAUGGACUCCGUGAUUCGCGUCUGGGACCUGCCGACAGGCCAUCUCAUCGACGCGUUCCGGCUGGCGAAUACAUGCACGGCGCUCGCGAUGUCGGCGACGGGCGAGUUCCUGGCGACGGCGCAUGCGGAUGGAGUCGGGGUUAAUAUCUGGAACAACCGGAGCUUGUUCACGCAUGUGCCGACGAAACAUAUUGAGGAGGAUGCUAUAGUGGAGGUCAGUGCGCCGACGGCGUCUGGGGAGGGUGGGGCGGCUGUCUUAGAAGCGGCAUUUGAGGAGGAUGCGCGGGAGGGCCGUGGUGAGGACUAUCCUGUGUUGUCGACGGAGCAGCUGAGUGGUGAUAUGAUGACGUUGAGUAUUACGCCGAAGAGCAGGUGGCAGACACUCUUGCAUCUGGAUAUUAUCAAGGAAAGAAACAAGCCCAAAGAACCGCCCAAGGUCCCGCAGAAAGCGCCAUUCUUCCUCCCUUCAACCCUCUCAAAGCCGGACUCCGACUCAUCCAUGCAACUUGUCUCCGCGCCAGAAGCAGCAGCAGAAGGCAGCUCAGGAACCAAGAAGACCACGCCAGCCGAACGAUCCCGGAUCGCCAAGCUCCAACUCGCCAAUGACCCCAGCAUGCAACCCUCAACUUUCAGCGCCCUCCUCCACUCAUGCUCCUCUGACAGCAACAACGGUAACAACGGUAACAGCAGUAACAGCAGUAACAGCAGUAACAGCAACCACUACGCGCCAUUCAUCGAGUACCUCAAAUCCCUGCCGCCCGCCAAAGCCGAUCUAGAAAUCCGCUCUCUCGACCCGGGCCUACUUAGCGGGCGCAAGCAGGGCAUGAACGAGCUGGUGGCGUUCGUGGAGGCGCUGACCGCACAGCUGAGGACGAGGAGGGACUUUGAGCUUGUGAAUGCGUGGAUGGCUGUGUUCUUGAAGGUGCAUGGGGAUGUUGCUGUUGAAGGGGAGAGUGUUGGUGCUGAUGCUGAUGCUGGUGUUGGUGCUGGUGCUGGUUUUCGGGAUGGGGGUGGGGACGACAACGAGGCAGAGACUACACGGGC
rnacentral:sRNA from 1 species